ACUAAAACCUAAGGUUGCAUAAAUAACCAGAGUUCAGACCAAAUUCCGGGCAUUGUUCUUCUGCUUCUCCCUUUCUCCAUCUGUUUCCUUCCCUUCCCUUCCCUUUUCCCCCCCACCUCUCUCUCUCUCUACGACACUUUGCAACCUCUCUCUCUCUCUCUCUCUUCUUGGUCAUCUGUUUCUCCCUUUUUCAACGCCUUUUGAAUAUUUUGGUUCUACUUCAUCCAUGUAUCCCAGGUGAUGAUGGGUUGGGGCAGUGGUUCGCCAUGUCCUUCUCUUCUCAAAAUCCCACUUUUUGGCCCCUCUUCUCGACUCUGCAUACUAAUAAUGGUUCUCUCUUCUUCGACAGCUCGAUUUUGUUCUCUUUUUUGAGUAUCGAAUGCAAGCGCCCGAUCUAUCGGUUAAUUCCUCCCUGAACCAAGAAAGAUCCUUGGCGGCACCUUCGUUUGUUGGGUUAUCUUUCUGAUGAUGUCUGAAGAAGCCUCCACAGCGAUCCAUAACGAUGGGUCUCCCCCAGAAGGAGAGAAGCCUCAGAAUAACCAUAACCACAAGUACUCCACUCGGAAAGAGCGGCCCCCUCGCGCAUGUACGGCUCGCUCCGCUGCUCGGCUCUACCAAGCCGCACUCGCCGUGGAGCGCAAACAGAUUCUUUCCAAGAAAGAGAAGCAGGAGCAACAGCAGCAGCAGCAACAAUGUAGUAAGAUCAUUACACCGCUUGUGAAUGAGCCACCGCCUUCGCAGUUACCUCGCUGGAGUCUCCGCUCGAUGUGGGAGUUGGCUUCCCUUCUUAACUUCUUACAUGUUUUUAGACCCCUUUUGAACAUAACGGUUGAGUUCUCAGCAGAAGAGGUUGAGACUGCUUUGAUUACACCUAAUAGCACUUUGGAUGACCUACAUAUACCCUUGUUAAAGGCAAUUCCUCCUGUUACCAGAAUGGCGUUGGGGCGUGCUACUUGGGUUACAGUGUUAUGCAGAAAGUUGAGGGAUUGGUGGCACUGGGUUGCAGAAGGGGAAGUACCAAUUGUAGCAUCACACGGGACGGAAGUUGAAGUUUAUAAGGCACUUGAUCCUGGGACUCGUCUGGUGAUUCUGAAAGCACUCUGUGACAUCCGGGUUGAGCAAGAGGAUAUACGGAACUAUAUCGAUGACUCUAUUAAACAUGGGAUUCAACUUUCAGCAUUUCGUAAAGAACGUAUUGGAGGUGAUUCACAUGGAGUUUCAUAUUGGUAUGAAGAUGAUCCUAUAAUUGGUCAUCGAUUGUACCGGGAGAUCAGAAAAAUUGAAGUGAAAAAAUUGAAGGCAAAAGGGUCUCCACAUAUCCCCACCAUAUCUUGUCAAUGGGAGGCAGUUGCAACAAACUUGGAUGAAUUCCAAGAUGUUUCUGAGAAGCUUUUCUCAAGUAAAAAUAAAACAGAGGCUGCAGUUGGAAAGAAGUUAAAGGUAGACAUGCUUCCAGAGAUAGAGAAGAUCCACAAGAGGAAAGAGAGGUUGCUGAAAAAGCAACAUCGGCAGGCUCUCCUUCUUGACAGCUUCUUGAAUACAGAUGGCGUUGCUGCAGGGCGUUCUCUUCGUGACAGAAAGCCUGUUACUUACACGUUUGAUGAUUAUGAUCGGUCUAUCAAUGAGGCCAUUAAAAUAACGAAGCGGAAACAGCCCUCCCCAGAUCAUGUUAUCAAGAGAGAAGUUGGGAUGAAAUCUGAGCCUUCUACUAAUGGCAAAUGGCAUGGUCCAUCACAUGCCCUGCAGCAGUUGCCCUAUGAUGCGCUCUCACCAAAGUCAACUGAUUAUGAAGAUACCGAUACAGAGAAUUAUAAGUCUGGACCACUGGAUCGCAGCAAUCGACGAAGACAGAGGCCCCAGAGAUACUCAGAGAAAGAGUUUGUUGAAGCUGUAUCAGAUAAUGAGGCAGACUUUGAUAGUGAUGAUGAUAUAGUUGGAGAAGCAGUGUAUGAUGAGGAGUAUCUGAGGAGCCGAAAACAGAGGAAGAAGGUAUCCAGCAGCUCAGAGGGAGAUGAGGAGUACCGUUGGGAUGAAAAUGCCGAAGACGAGGAAGAAGAGGAAGAAGAUUCUUUGAGCGUUAGUGAGGAUACAGAUGAACAUCUUAGAUCUAAGAAAUUCCCUGGUCGAAGCAGGAGAGGAGCCAAAUUAAGGUCAGUUGAUGAGCUUCAGUCAGGUUUGAGACGAAGCAAGAGGGCCACUCGAAACCAAAUUAAUUAUCAACAGUAUGAGUUGUCUGGGUCAGAAGGAGAUUCUGUGAAACAUGAGAAAUCAAAUGCUUCAGACAGGCAGUCAGAUGCAAGCGAUGAUUUGGAAUACUCCAUGGGAAGUCAGGAUUCUCAUGGUGAUGAGGAUGAUGAGGAAGGAAAAGUUGAUCAACCAGUUCAAGAGAACCAUGAGACGGUAGAAAAGGAGCAAAGCCAGCCACCUGAGAAAUCAAAUGGCACAGGUGAGGAGGAAUAUAAUAGCGGACGAAAAAGACGAUUUCUGGACCUAAAUGAGCUUGCUCCAGUUACAGGUUUUGAUGAUGGCCCUGGCACACCAAUAAAAGAUGAAAAUACAGAUAAUUUCUAGGUAUCCUCUCCGAAGAAUCCGCACUCCUUUGGGGCUCUUCACACUGGCUGCUGUGAGAAAGUAGGGGUUCUUACACUCCUUUCUUGGUCAAGCUGGGCGCUUGUUGGGCCAUCCAAAAUUUUGCUAUUAGUUCAUGAAAGGGGGUUACACCUAUUGAGUUCUUUCAUGGCAUAAUGCGAGCAGCCAUUGUAAUGUAAUUUAUUCAGUGAUUUCCAGCGGGGAGCGCAAAAUGACGCAGAGAAUUGUGUAGAUAGGGUAGUCAUCUUUAUACUUGUACCUCCAGAGCAAUUUAUGCUAUGGGGUGGGAAUUUGUAGGGGAGUCCCUUGCUGGUCUGCUCAUUUUCCGAUCAAUGUACAAUAUCCAUGAAGCUGAUAUGGAUGGUACAAUUAAUUUUCAUUAGUUAUUGCGUUUCAUGGUUUGCGGGUCGAAUGAUGUGAUCUGAAAACUUGUUCUCUUGUAAGAUUGGUGCCAUCCAUUCUCACAAGGCAACUCGAUGUUUCAUGUGUCCUUUGUUCUCUUGUUAGGUUGGUGACAUCUUCACUUGAGGUAACUUACUAUUUCUUGUGUAGUAAUUUUGAUUCUUAGAUUCUCAAGGACGCGAGAACUUUUGGUUUUUCUGCUUUCUAUUAAAAUGUAGUUUCAUAACAAUUCGGUUUGUAGAUGUAACUUAUAAUGCUGCACUCGUUCGUCAUCUGACCACAUGGAUUCGUUUAUCACUUAAUUCCACCAUGAACAGUUUUGGUUUAGCUGUACAUACAAAGUAUUAAAGUCAAUUCUUUGCUGAUCCACAA